rnacentral:rRNA from 1 species
GAUGAACGCUGGCGGCGUGCCUAAUACAUGCAAGUAGAACGCUAAGGCCGGAGCUUGCUCUUCUGGACGAGUUGCGAACGGGUGAGUAACGCGUAGGUAACCUGCCCUGUAGUGGGGGAUAACUAUUGGAAACGAUAGCUAAUACCGCAUGACAACAGUUGUUGCAUGAUAAGUGUUGAAAAGGGGCAACUGCUCCGCUACCAGAUGCACCUGCGUUGUUUUAGCUAGUUGGUGUGGUAACGGCUCACUAAGGCGACGAUACAUAGUCGAACUGAGAGGGGGGUCGGCCGCACUGGGAGGGAGACCGGGCCCAGAGGGCUUCGGGAGCGGGCCGUAGGCAAACGGCGGCAAGGGGCGGAAGACUGAGCAAGAAACGCGGAGGGAGGAAAGAGCGAUGUCGGGUCGUGGAGCUCGGUUGUAAGGGAGGAACGAGUGUUAGAGUGGAAAGAUCAGACAGUGACGGUAUCUGAUCAGAAAGCGACGGCUAACUACGUG